rnacentral:lncRNA from 1 species
AGCAGGAGCAUUUUCAUGAUCAUCCCUCAGAGUGGGAGCAGAUCCCUUAUUUAGCUCAUAUGGAGCUGGAAUUCUUGCCUUCCCUCACCUGAAAAUAAAAUUUGCAUCAUUCCUCUGCUGUGUGGCAAUUUCUCUUUAUGCUGGGAAGAGUUACAGAUGGAGCAGAAGCAGAGGCACACGGAGAAGAGACAGUCUGGGAACAUCCAGAAGGAGAUGAUGCCAAAAAUCUCUACACCUACACUUCCUACAAUUCCUACAUUUCCACGAGGCACUGGAGCCAAGCAGCAGCAGGAGGACUGCAAAGAGAAGCUUGCAGCUUUGAGUGUGGACAUGAUCUCUGCCUCUCCUGCUGAGCACAGCUCUGGGUCUCCAGAAAACAUGCUGGAAAGGCAGCUGGUGGCUCCCAGCAGCAGGAGUGGUUUUAAUGCUGUUCUUUGUGAGGAGCUGGGGCUGGGCAUCUCUCAGUGCAGCUCAGCUUCUCCCCAGCAGCAUCAGCACAAGGUGACUGCUCAGCCCAGGGCAGCUCUGCUCUGGGGAGGAUGAUCAGCUCGAGGUGUUGUCUCUCUUCCUAGAGCUUCCCAGCCACUGGAGAUGUGCUUGUUUACUCCAUCACACCCACAAGACAGGUGAAAAUGUGAGAGCAAACGACAUGUGAGCCAUGGUGCGCUGUCCCAGGCUGCCACCAGCCACAGAUGAGUUUGUGACCUGCUGUGCUCGGGAGUGGGAAGGAGAAGGAACAGAUUGCACUGUGAACCAGCCCCAUCGUGGGCUCCUGGAGGCAGGGCAGGAAAGAAAGCAAAAAACCACAUUUCUGAUCUUCAAGCUAACAAUAACCCGCUAAAGGGUGAAAAUGCAACCACUCAGAGCCUGCUCCUGUACGAAUGCAGGAGCCACUCAAUCCUUCUGAGAGCAGAGUCCCUCACCUGGGGUGUGUCAGCUCAGUGUAUUUGCUUUGUGGUAUCCUUCUUCCCUCCCCUCACCCCCUCAGUGCACAGAUGCAAGCCAGACAAAAGCAGGAACAUCCCACUUCUGUACAGUCCAGAGGCACAGGAGUUGAGGGUAAAUGCACUUGUGAAAGGGUUUUUUUAAUAAAAAAAAAGAAAGUUUAGGGAUGGAGUUCCA